rnacentral:rRNA from 1 species
CUGAUUAGUUAGUUGGCGUGAUAAAGGCACACCAAGACGAUGAUCAGUAGCCGAGCUGAGAGGCUGAUCGGCCACAUUGGGACUGAGACACGGCCCAGACUCCUACGGGAGGCAGCAGUUGGGAAUAUUGGACAAUGGAGGAAACUCUGAUCCAGUGACGUCGCGUGAAGGAAGAAGGUCUUCGGAUUGUAAACUUAUUUUAUCAGGGAAAAAACAAAUGAUGGUACCUGAAGAAAAAGCACCGGCAAACUACGUGCCAGCAGCCGCGGUAAUACGUAGGGUGCAAGCGUUAUCCGGAUUUACUGGGUAUAAAGGGUGAGUAGACGGCAAUGCAAGUCAGCUGUGAAACCUUGGAGCUCAACUCCAAGCCUGCAGCUGAAACUGUAUAGCUAGAGUACAGGAGAGGAAAGCGGAAUUCCUAGUGUAGCGGUGAAAUGCGUAGAUAUUAGGAAGAACACCAGUGGCGAAGGC